CCUACGGGUGGCUGCAGUCGAGAAUCUUCGGCAAUGGGCGCAAGCCUGACCGAGCGACGCCGCGUGCGGGAUGAAGGCCUUCGGGUUGUAAACCGCUGUCGAGGGGAAUGAAGUGCAGGUGGGUUCUCCCAUCUGUUUGACAGAUCCCUGGAGGAAGCAUGGGCUAAGUUCGUGCCAGCAGCCGCGGUAAGACGAACCAUGCAAACGUUAUGCUGAUUCACUGGGCUUACGGCGUGCUUAGGCAGGUGUGAAAGCCCUCAGCCCAACUGAGGAAUUGCGCUUGAUACUGCAUGACUAGAGAAUGAUAGAGGUGGGUGGAACGGAUGGUGGAGCGGUGAAAUGCGUUGAUAUCAUCAGGAACACCAGUGGCGAAGGCGACCCACUGGGUCAUUUCUGACGCUGAGGUACGAGAGCUAGGGUAGCGAACGGGAUUAGAUACCCUUGUAGUC
rnacentral:rRNA from 1 species